rnacentral:rRNA from 1 species
GACAGAGGGUGCAAACGUUGCUCGGAAUUACUGGGCGUAAAGGGCGUGUAGGCGGGAAGGCAAGUCGGGCGUGAAAUCCCCAGGCACACCGUGGGAACUGCACUCGAAACUGCCUUUCUUGAGUGCCGGAGAGGAGAGUGGAAAUUCCGUGGUGUAGCGGUGAAAUGCGCAGAUAUCAGGAAGAACACCCGUGGCUAAGGCGGCAUCUCUAGU